GGGUUGUGAGGUUAAGCGACUAAGCGUACACGGUGGAUGCCCUGGCAGUCAGAGGCGAUGAAGGACGUGCUAAUCUGCGAUAAGCGUCGGUGAGGUGAUAUGAACCGUUAUAACCGGCGAUUUCCGAAUGGGGAAACCCAGUGUGUUUCGACACACUAUCAUUAACUGAAUCCAUAGGUUAAUGAGGCGAACCGGGGGAACUGAAACAUCUAAGUACCCCGAGGAAAAGAAAUCAACCGAGAUUCCCCCAGUAGCGGCGAGCGAACGGGGAGGAGCCCAGAGCCUGAAUCAGUGUGUGUGUUAGUGGAAGCGUCUGGAAAGGCGUGCGAUACAGGGUGACAGCCCCGUACACAAAAAUGCACAUAUUGUGAGCUCGAUGAGUAGGGCGGGACACGUGGUAUCCUGUCUGAAUAUGGGGGGACCAUCCUCCAAGGCUAAAUACUCCUGACUGACCGAUAGUGAACCAGUACCGUGAGGGAAAGGCGAAAAGAACCCCGGCGAGGGGAGUGAAAAAGAACCUGAAACCGUGUACGUACAAGCAGUGGGAGCCUCUUAAUGGGGUGACUGCGUACCUUUUGUAUAAUGGGUCAGCGACUUAUAUUCUGUAGCAAGGUUAACCGAAUAGGGGAGCCGAAGGGAAACCGAGUCUUAACUGGGCGUUAAGUUGCAGGGUAUAGACCCGAAACCCGGUGAUCUAGCCAUGGGCAGGUUGAAGGUUGGGUAACACUAACUGGAGGACCGAACCGACUAAUGUUGAAAAAUUAGCGGAUGACUUGUGGCUGGGGGUGAAAGGCCAAUCAAACCGGGAGAUAGCUGGUUCUCCCCGAAAGCUAUUUAGGUAGCGCCUCGUGAAUUCAUCUCCGGGGGUAGAGCACUGUUUCGGCAAGGGGGUCAUCCCGACUUACCAACCCGAUGCAAACUGCGAAUACCGGAGAAUGUUAUCACGGGAGACACACGGCGGGUGCUAACGUCCGUCGUGAAGAGGGAAACAACCCAGACCGCCAGCUAAGGUCCCAAAGUCAUGGUUAAGUGGGAAACGAUGUGGGAAGGCCCAGACAGCCAGGAUGUUGGCUUAGAAGCAGCCAUCAUUUAAAGAAAGCGUAAUAGCUCACUGGUCGAGUCGGCCUGCGCGGAA
rnacentral:rRNA from 1 species